GACGAACCGUGCGAACGUUGUUCGGAAUCACUGGGCUUAAAGGGCGCGUAGGCGGCCUGGCAAGUCAAAGGUGAAAUCCCUCGGCCCAACCGAGGAACUGCCUUUGAAACUGCAAGGCUCGAGGCCGGGAGAGGGUAGCGGAAUUCCCAGUGUAGCGGUGAAAUGCGUAGAUAUUGGGAGGAACACCAGUGGCGAAGGCGGCUACCUGGACCGGUUCUGACGCUGAGGCGCGAAAGCGUGGGGAGCAAACAGG
rnacentral:rRNA from 1 species